rnacentral:rRNA from 1 species
UACGAAGGGGGCUAGCGUUGUUCGGAUUUACUGGGCGUAGAGCGCACGUAGGCGGAUCGAUCAGUCAGGGGUGAAAUCCCAGAGCUCAACUCUGGGACUGCCUUUGAUACUGUCGAUCUGGAGUAUGGAAGAGGUGAGUGGAAUUCCGAGUGUAGAGGUGAAAUUCGUAGAUAUUCGGAGGAACACCAGUGGCGAAGGCGGCUCACUGGUCCAUUACUGACGCUGAGGUGCGAAAGCGUGGGGAGCAAACAGG